AGCUCCCCGAGUGGUUGGGACGAUUAUUGGGUCUGAAGCGUCCGUAGCCGGCCGGAAAAGUUCCCCGUUAAAUCUGGCGAUCCAAUCGUUGGGCUGCGGGGAAUACUCUUCGGCUUGGGGGCGAGGGAGGUCGGCGGUAGUCCCGGGGUAGGGGCGAAAUCCUAUAAUCCCGGGAGGACCACCAGUGGCGAAGGCGGCCGACUAAAACGCGCCCGACGGUGAGGGACGAAAGCUGGGGGAGCGAACGG
rnacentral:rRNA from 1 species